rnacentral:rRNA from 1 species
GACGAACGCUGGCGGCGUGCUUAACACAUGCAAGUCGAACGGAAAGGCCUCUUUCGGGGGGUACUCGAGUGGCGAACGGGUGAGUAACACGUGAGUAACCUGCCCUUUACUUUGGGGUAACUUCAGGAAACUGGGGCUAAUACCGGAUAGGAGCUCCUGCUGCAUGGUGGGGGUUGGAAAGUUUCCGCGGGUGGGGAUGGACUCGCGGCGUAUCAGCUUGUUUGUGGGGUAGUGGCUUAUCAAGGCUUUGACGGGUAGCCGGCCCGAGAGGGUGAACGGCCACAUUGGGACUGAGAUACGGCCCAGACUCCUACGGGAGGCAGCAGGGGGGAAUAUUGCACAAUGGGUGGAAGCCUGAUGCAGCAACGCCGUGUGCGGGAUGACGGGCUUCGGGUUGUAAACCGCUUUCGCUCAUGACGAAGCUUUGUGUGACGGUAGUGGGUAAAGAAGCACCGGCUAACUACGUG